GCGCCUGUAGCUCAGUGGAUAGAGCGCUGCCCUCCGGAGGCAGAGGCCGCAGGUUCGAAUCCUGCCGGGCGCG
rnacentral:tRNA from 1 species